GUACCUACGGGAGGCAGCAGUGAGGGAUAUUGGUCAAUGGGGGAAACCCUGAACCAGCAACGCCGCGUGAGGGAAGACGGUUUUCGGAUUGUAAACCUCUGUCCUCUGUGAAGAUGAUGACGGUAGCAGAGGAGGAAGCUCCGGCUAACUACGUGCCAGCAGCCGCGGUAAUACGUAGGGAGCGAGCGUUGUCCGGAUUUACUGGGUGUAAAGGGUGCGUAGGCGGCUAUGCAAGUCAGUAGUGAAAUCCAUGGGCUUAACCCAUGAACUGCUAUUGAAACUGCACAGCUUGAGUGAAGUAGAGG
rnacentral:rRNA from 1 species